rnacentral:lncRNA from 1 species
UUUUUUUUUUAAUUUUAUGGCAGUGCCCACAGCAUGCAGAAGUUCUGAGGCUAGGGAUCAAACCCAUACCAUAGCAGUGGCAAUGCUGGACCUUAACCCACUGACCCACCAAGGAACUCUCCUUUAGCAUUCUAUGAAAACUUUCUUUGUGCUUCUUAGUUGGACAAUCUUUUGCACAAGUGUUUAUGUUAAUGUGUUGAUUUAAAUGUUGACAAACACUUAGACAUAAAUGGAAAUAGUGUACUCCCCAUAUAAAGAGAAUUGGGGCACAAAUUUUAUGAUAUUUUUAAUUUUUUCCCUGGGGCAAUAUUACAAAACGAGUCCAUUUACUGUCCCCAGUUAUUAAGCAGAUAUGGAUAUAGCAACCAUCAGAGAAGAAAGGAACAUCUUUGUAACAUCUCACAUAUGUUUUUGUGGAUACAGAAUAAAAUGUCUUCCCCUGAUAAUUAGAAAUAGUUCAUAAAAUCAGUUGGUCUGUGUGUAUCACAUAAAGGCAAUAAAAAAACUACAGUUUGCUGGUUGGAAGCAAAUUGUAAGAUGUUUGAUGUCUUGACAGUGGUGUGUAAUCAGUAAAUAAGAAAGUCAUUAGUUGUCUGUGUUGUGUAACAAGUGACCAGAAACUUAGAAGUUUAAAAUAAUACACAUUCAUCCUCUCACAGUUUCAGUGGUAUAGAUGUCUAGGCAUAGGUUAAAAAGGGUUAUAUGUUUAGGGUGCCCAAUAUUGUGAUUUAUUAAAAAUAUGUUUUUUCAUCAUUCAUAAGACUGAAAUAUAUUUUCCAGGUAUAUUCGGUCUUAGUCCAUAGUUUCUGACUCCCAGCUCCCAGAACCUUGUGAUUUCCUAGUGUUGAGAGUGAUAAAGUGUCUUUGGUUAUGUUAACUAGGUGACUUUUGGUCACUCCUAAGGAUAGGGCUUGGUAACUAGUGGAGCCAAUCACAUGAUGAACAUACCUGGGAGAGGGAAUGGGAGUAGAGAUUAAGUUGAAUCUCCAGUUGUCAAUGAUUUAACCAGUCAUGUGUAUGGAUAAAAUCUCCAUAAAAAUAAACCUAAGAAUAAGGGUUUCUGAGAGCUUCUGGGUUGUGAGCAUGUGGAGUUGCUGGGACAGUGAUGCACCUGGAGAGGGGAUGGGAGCUCCCAGCCCUUUCUCUCUGCCUCACCCAUGCAUUUCUUCCAUGGCUUUUUCUGAGUUAUAUCAUUUUAUAAACCUCUGAUAUAAUAAGUAAAAUGUUUCUCUGAGUGCUGUGAACUGUUCUAGCAAAUUAACCAAGCCCAAAAUGAGGACUAUGGGAAUCUCUGAUUUAUAGCUGAUUGGUCAGAAGUACAGGUAACAACCUGGGCUUGUGAGUAGCAUGUGAAAGGAUGGCAUAGGGGAAGUGACAGUUUUGCAGGACUAAUCCUUAACCUGUGGAAUCUGAUGCUGUCUCCUAGUAGAUAGUGUCAGAAUUGAGUUGAAUUCUUGGACACUAACCUGGUGUCCCAUGAAUUGCUUGGUACUGGAUGGGAAGCCCACUCCCUGCCACACACAUCCCACAUUGGGAUAGGUUUCCGUACACUCAUUGAGGUCUCACAAGUCUGCAGUCAAGGUGGGAGCCCGGGCUGAGUUCUCAUCAGAACUUCUCAUCAGACUCAGUAGUAAGUGUCAUUACGAAUUUCCUUUAGGUUGUUUGCAGAAUUCAUUUCCUUAUGGCAAUAGUAUUCCAGCAACUUGUUUCUUCAAAGCCCACAAGAGAAAGAGACUAGAGCAAGCCACGUAUCAAGACAAGAGUCUAAUCUAAUGUAAUGUAAUCAAUGCAGUGGCAUCCCAUUGCCUUGACAUGUUCUACUGGUUGAAAAUAAGCCACCAGUCCUACCCACAGUAAAGGCAAGGGAAUUAUACAAGGGCACCAAGAGGUGGAAGCAUGGGGCCACUUUAAAUUCUGAUCUCCACUGGGGAGGAAAACAGACAUAAGGAAAAACAUAUAAUCACAGCACCUUAGUGCAUGUAUCCAAUUAAAGACUUUGUAUAAUUUCUAGAAGAAAUAUACCAUUAAUGAUCCAAAUGACGGUUGUACACUGUGGCUGAUUCUGUAUUAGAACCACACUUUUUGUGAGUAUCCCUUUAUGUAUAAGGAAGUGCAGGUGUAUACUGAGAAGAAAGAAUUUCAGGAAGGUAAGAUGACAUCCCUCAGGUGGAUUCUGAAGCUCUAAUUUUGAUAAAUUAAUCUACCUUUAAAAGGCUUUAAUUCUCUCUAAUACAUCUUGAGAAAGGAGUACUAUCUUAAACUGUUAAAAUUCUUUUAUAUCUUAAUAUAAUGGGGGAUUUGAUUAAACGGCUCCAGCAGAGAGCGAGCCAGUAAGACAGCAUGAGACAUGAGAAAGAGGACAAGAGGGAAAAACAGGAGUUUGAAAACAUCAUAAUUUUGCAGGGCUUUCCUUAUCUUUUCAUAGUAGAUUAUUAUGUACAGACAGUUAUUUCUCAUUAUAUUUAAUCAAAAUUCCAAGCCAUAUAAGAAUAUAAUUAUAACUUAGUAUAUACAUUUAUUUACAUGGCAAAUGAAUCUAAUGGUGGAGAGGGAACAUAAUGUGGAGAGACAAGCAUAUUAUCAGACACUGUGAUUGAAGUACAUGAGGUAAACUCCAUCUCUACUAGAAAUCUCACUGGGGACAAUAGGAAAAAAAAGGCAAGGCAGAGAAUCAAGAAAGGCUUCAAAAGAUGAGGGCAUGGAGAAUAGGCUGGCUGAUCAUCCAGGAGGAUGCAAAGCAAGUGAGCAAGGACUAACUUAACACUUGUAUCGGUUCUUAUGGACUGGGAGAGAUCCUGGCUCUAAGUAAGUCCUAAGCUCUCAACAGGCAUUGUUUUGGGCACCAUAGAGGAAAAUUCAGCAGGUUUCUAGUGACAGAAUGAUGCUAAACUUUUCAAUGGUUAGGCAAUGGAAACCUUUAUUUAGAGGCAGAUCCUGGAAAGAGUGGAAUUUUAUGAGAACUCCAUUAUACUGCUCACCAGCUUCUUAAAUACUUUCAGGCAAUGUCAGAAAAGCAUGUGAAAUAUUUUUGACCAGUCAACAUAACUUGAACACCAUUCAUUUCAGCAAUAUAAAGUUACUUCUAACACUCUGAUGCUAAUUAUUAUACCCUCCAGUAUUAGUUUACAGGACAAUAGUUGAAUGGCUAGUAUGGCUAGAUCUGGAGUUUGGUCUCCAAACAAUGUAACAGUUAUUCAUAAAGGUAGCAGAGCUCGCUUAUAUGGUCUUGCAUUUUCUCUGAGAAAAAUUUUAAAAUCUGGAUUUAAAAAGACUAUAGAAAAUAUUUAUUGCUUAAUACAAUGUAUAUAUUCUCAGUAGAAAAUAAAGUCAAAAUAAUAAUUAGUUCUUAUCCCUGGAGACGGUUAUUUUCCACAAUGAGAUUUGGCAGAAAGAGACUCUUGAAGCUAUUAGAAACUUUGUCUCAAUAAAUAUAAGGCAAAUUCACAAAGUUUUUCCAAGUUCUAAUUGACUUAUUCCAUAUGAAAAAAAAAUAAAAUGAAUUUAGCAUAAAUUAUAUUUUAUAUAUAUAUAUACACACACACAUAUAUAUACUGUACAUUAAAAAUAUUAUGGGAAUAGGAACUACACUUAUAAAACAAUAAUUUUGUUUUUAACCAACUCACGAUGUAGUUUUGUCAAACUUUAAAAUUUCUGAACCAAGUGUUAUUUCCCUUUGAGCCAGUUGGCCAAACAAGGCACAUCCCCUGAUCUUGGAGGUUGAUUGUUUUGUCCACUGAAUUGAGAAUCUGAUUUCCUCAUUUGAUUAAAUAAGUUAAACCUAUCAAAAGUAGGGAGUCAUUUUUCAACUUUUAAAAUCUUAACCAGCAGCAUUUUACUGUUAAAUCAUGAAAUUGUUUACCUUAAUUGUACCCAUUAAGGUGUUUUAGGAAAACUCCAAAGCCAGAAAGGAGGACUUAGUUUAUUUCCUGUUUUAUUUUCUUUAUCCCAUGCCAUACUUAACUGCCAUUGUCAUUACUGACAUAGUUCUGCUGGGAAUUUAGCCAUGCAGGGAGCAAUAAAUCUGUUAUUUGAAAAGAUUCUUUGGAAGGAAACAUGAAGAAUUUUGUAAAUUUAUUGGGACAGCAUAAAGUGAAUAACAUCUUAAAAUACUUGGGAAAGGACCAAGUUAUAUUACUAAAGGGGAAAGAGAGAACAAGAAUGAGCCUUGAGUAAGCAGAGAACAUCAUAAAUCAUAUAGGAUAGCUCUGUGCUUUUAUUCCUGAGUCCAUAUGUUCUACUCAAAGAAAAACAAUGUGGAACAAUUUAGCAUUAUUUUGCACAGCUCGAGGAGGGCCUGAGAAUUCCCUAUAACAGCUAAGUAACAUCAUUUAUAACUUUAAUAUCAAUACCUUUGGGUUUGUUUCUAAGUUUUGCUCAGCUCUAUCUAAAAACAAAUUUAUUUUCAACUUUUUUAAGAAAUAUUCUAACUUUGAGGAUCAGGAACAAGGAAUAGCAAAAUGUUGCAUCCAUCAGAAAUCAAUUUUUUUUAAAACAUCUUUUUUCAAUAAACUGCAAAGAUCUUGUGAACCAAGAAUGUAAAAUUUGUAUUUUGCUGUAUUCCUCUACUGUUAUCUUGUGUAUAUAGCAUAUAUAAUUGAUUAUAAAUUGAAUAUUUGAUAUUUAUCAUUGACAUAUUGUAUAUUCAUAUAUAAAACAUAUGUAUCUUUAAGAAUAUUGGUAACAUUUCUUUUAAUAACAUAAAGUAAGUAAUAUUAUAAAAAUGAUGGGUACCCUGGGGUAAAAGUGUAGAGCAAGGAGAAGGGAAUUGAGGACUUUGGGGGAGAGGGCAAUAAGUUGCAAUCUUCUAAAAGGGCACAUGCAUGCGUUUAUUAUUCAGGGUCUGGUUGUUAGUGGAAGUCCUAUGCACAGUGAGGCCAAACAAACCAAAACACUGGUGUUUGGAGCAGUGAAAGGUUUAUGGCAGGGCCAUGCAAGGAGAUAGUUGGUUGUGCCCCUAAAAUAUCCCCACUCCCCUAACCAAAAUUGCAAAGCCUCUUUUAAAGGUAAGGUGAG